rnacentral:rRNA from 1 species
AUUGAACGCUGGCGGCAUGCUUUACACAUGCAAGUCGAACGGUAACAGGGGAGCUUGCUCCCGCUGACGAGUGGCGAACGGGUGAGUAAUGCAUCGGAACGUGCCGAAUAGUGGGGGAUAACGCACCGAAAGGUGUGCUAAUACCGCAUACGCCCUGAGGGGGAAAGUGGGGGACCGCAAGGCCUCACGCUAAUCGAGCGGCCGAUGUCGGAUUAGCUAGUUGGUGGGGUAAAGGCUCACCAAGGCGACGAUCCGUAGCGGGUCUGAGAGGAUGAUCCGCCACACUGGGACUGAGACACGGCCCAGACUCCUACGGGAGGCAGCAGUGGGGAAUUUUGGACAAUGGGGGAAACCCUGAUCCAGCCAUGCCGCGUGUCUGAAGAAGGCCUUCGGGUUGUAAAGGACUUUUGUCCGGGAGGAAACCCUGAUCGUUAAUAGCGGUCGGGACUGACAGUACCGGAAGAAUAAGCACCGGCUAACUACGUGCCAGCCGCCGCGGUAAUAC